UUACAGGAGUUUUCAUGUUCAACUGUUAAUAACGUUAUUGAACAAUUAAUCGAGGACAGCUGGCGAGUCUUAGCGAGAAGACGGCGUCGAACGGUGUUCGCACGGCAGGUUCAUGAGUGUUGUGCUCUCCACGCGCUUUCCCCCACUCUGCUGGUGUGUGCCUAGUAGCUGCUGUAGCUGGAAGUUAGCGGCGGCCGCCGGAUGCCAGUAACUGCGCCAGCCGUCAGUAGCUGCCACGGUUGCCGGCCGUCAGUAGCUGCCGCGGCCGCCGGCCGUCAGUAGCAGCGCCGGCCGUCAGUAGCUGCUAAGGUUGCUACUGGCGCUGUAGCUAACUUCCAGCCCAGUGCUGCCGUGGGAAAAAAUCGGCGGCACAGUACACCAGGGAGGACACGCGAGCGGUCGGAGGGAAAGAGCUUGGAGAGCACAACACUCACGAACCUAAAUUCCAGCUACAGCUGCUGCUACGGGUGCUCGUUCAAGAUACCGGAGGAUGUUGUUGUCUUAAUGUGCGGGACUAGAACGAUUAUUCAUUACCAGCCCUAGUUGGGGAAAUGUGCCCUUGUAUCCUUGUAUGCAUGACAGUAGUACAAACAUGAAUAACAUUGCUGCUUUUGGUUUUCACAUCUGUUCACGGUGCUAGGCUACAUCACGUAGCAUGCCAGACGGACCCACCAAAGAUGCGCACACAUGGAACGCAGCUUUCUAUGAAAACACUGCGACCUCAGUACAAAAGUACAGGCACACAGAAAACUGUGCUGCACUGAUGUCGGUGUUGGGACCUCAGCUGUAAGAGACCUCGCUUGGAGGAGGGAGAGGACAACCCAAGUUGUUGCAGUAUGGACUUCAGAGAGCCACAGGAUGCUACCUAUGAUCCUGAUGACUCAAUCACAGUCUUGACUGAGUCAGCAGAUGUGACAUCACGUGGAUAACCUGUUGGACCUCAUCUUUCACCAGGUUUUUCAGGACCCGGCCCCAUAUGUGAAUGAGGUGCUGAAGAUCUCAAAACCUGAUGACCUCUCUGCUAAGGAUGAGAAACCUGACAAGCAGGAAGUUAUAGCCAGCUAUGUGUCGAGUUUCAAUCAAGGGCAGGUCUGAACCCUGUAUAACUUCCCUGAGCAUCAGGGAACACUCUGCGUAUCUGGAGCACCGAGCAGGAGGGCAGGACCACCCUGAUUCUCCGGCUCAGAUAGCCUCAACACCAGCUCACAAAGCUUCUCUGCGACAAAUACCUGUAACGGCUGAGCAAAGUUCACAUUGUAUUUAGAGAAUAAAGGUGACACACAAAUAUAGAGUGUUCCUUUGUUUACAGUAUGGCUACUGAUGGCACAAAUUGUAUUUUUGAAAUCAAUGUUUUCAUUAUACUUGGUAUUUUUUGUAUUUAUUACCUCUCUUCCAGCCAGUAAAUUUAAUUAACAUUUAAAUUAACUAUUUUUUAAAAGCUCUGUGGCAUUCUUUCUGACAAUAAAAGUUUAUAGAAACAGUUGUGUGCUUUUAAUGUUUGAUAUGUAAAAUGUUAACAAUUGACACGUGUAAGAUGAGCAGUUAGCAAAGUAAUACACAGGGAAGAGUAAUUUAUGUAUUUUAUUCCUCAGUCAUAUUUGUAUUGCAGAAAUGAAUGAUAGGGGGGCGAGGCCCUCAAAACAGCUUGAUCUCAGGAGGGCUGUUUUAGACAGAGUAAAAAUGUGCUGUUUUAAAUGAUCCUUGUGGUAUUUUUACCAAAAAAUGUUACAGACAUUUCAUUAAGACCCCAAGGAACCAUAUCAAAUGUGGUGAAAUGGGCAUAAUAUGUGCCCUUUAAAGCGGAAUAUUGGUGUCCAUGUAAACAUAGUCAGUGCCUUUGUUUAAAUAGGAUUGUCGUUGAAUGUGUGAGUUUUUUAGUUAUGUGACCUGUGCUCUCC